UACAGAGGUCCCAAGCGUUGUUCGGAUUCAUUGGGCGUAAAGGGUGCGUAGGUGGCGCGCUAAGUCGGGUGUGAAAUCUCGGGGCUUAACUCCGAAACUGCAUUCGAUACUGGCGUGCUUGAGGACUGGAGAGGAGACUGGAAUUCAUGGUGUAGCAGUGAAAUGCGUAGAUAUCAGGAGGAACACCUGUGGUGUAGACAGCUUACUGGACCACUUCUGACGCUGAGACACGAAAGCGUGGGUAGCAAACAGG
rnacentral:rRNA from 1 species